UUGGUUAAGUUAGAAAGGGCGCACGGUGGAUGCCUUGGCACUAGGAGCCGAAGAAGGACGGGACUAACACCGAUAUGCUUUGGGGAGCUGUACGUAAGCGUUGAUCCAGAGAUUUCCGAAUGGGGGAACCCACUAUCUUUAGUCGGAUAGUAUCCUUACGUGAAUACAUAGCGUGAGGAAGGCAGACCCAGGGAACUGAAACAUCUAAGUACCUGGAGGAAGAGAAAGAAAAAUCGAUUUCCUGAGUAGCGGCGAGCGAAACGGAAAGAGCCCAAACCAAGAAGCUUGCUUCUUGGGGUUGUAGGACACUCUAUACGGAGUUACAAAAGAAAGUUAUAAAUGAAGCGGUCUGGAAAGGCCCGCCAAAGACGGUAACAGCCCGGUAGUUGAAAUAGCUUUCCCUCCAGAGUGGAUCCUGAGUACGGCGGAACACGUGAAAUUCCGUCGGAAUCCGGGAGGACCAUCUCCCAAGGCUAAAUACUCCCUAGUGACCGAUAGUGAACCAGUACCGUGAGGGAAAGGUGAAAAGCACCCCGGAAGGGGAGUGAAACAGUUCCUGAAACCGUGUGCCUACAAGUAGUUAGAGCCCGUUAAUGGGUGAUAGCGUGCCUUUUGUAGAAUGAACCGGCGAGUUACGAUUUGUUGCAAGGUUAAGCGGAAAAAGCGGAGCCGUAGCGAAAGCGAGUCUGAAUAGGGCGCAUAAGUAACAGGUCGUAGACCCGAAACCAGGUGAUCUACCCAUGUCCAGGAUGAAGGUAAGGUAAUACUUACUGGAGGUCCGAACCCACGCACGUUGAAAAGUGCGGGGAUGAGGUGUGGGUAGCGGAGAAAUUCCAAUCGAACUUGGAGAUAGCUGGUUCUCUCCGAAAUAGCUUUAGGGCUAGCCUCGAGGUAAAGAGUCAUGGAGGUAGAGCACUGUUUGGACUAGGGGCCCUUCUCGGGUUACCGAAUUCAGAUAAACUCCGAAUGCCAUGUACUUAUACUCGGGAGUCAGACUGCGAGUGAUAAGAUCCGUAGUCGAAAGGGAAACAGCCCAGACCACCAGUUAAGGUCCCCAAAUAUAUGUUAAGUGGAAAAGGAUGUGGGGUUGCUUAGACAACCAGGAUGUUGGCUUAGAAGCAGCCACCAUUGAAAGAGUGCGUAAUAGCUCACUGGUCGAGUGACCCCGCGCCGAAAAUGUACCGGGGCUAAACAUAUUAC
rnacentral:rRNA from 1 species